UUGAUCCUUAAAUAGUGCUCAGCUGAGGCUGAACUUUAUGCAGCUUCCAUUUGGCUCUGGACACUUGAGCAACUGAGUGUCUGACACAUGUACAGAGCCCACAAGCUGCCAUGAGCUAUUUCUACAUGUAACUAGGUGACUACGCCUUGCAGCUUCCCCUACGUUAUAAGCUUUUUAACUUCAUUAUGUGAUCAGGCAUGUUGCCAACUUUGAAGGCCAUUCCACACAUCUGAGUGAUCUGGCUUGCCGUCCAGGUGAUUUAAGUGCCAAUCUUGAUAAAGGUCCGCAUAAGGACCGAAACGUCGAUGAAAUACGGCAUCAACAGUGAACCCGA